CUCGCUGUCCUCGGACUGCUGCCACUGAAAAGGAUACGAAAAAAAAGCAUUACAAAUGUUAUAUAUAAAAAGAUCACUCGGUAUCUCGGUAAAUAGGCGCGUCCUUGGGCCAAUUAAGCCAAGUGAACUCGUGCUCAGCGUUGAGUGCCUGCGAGUGGAGUCCAAGUGGAGUGCAGGGAGCCCACGCUCGUCGCUUCCAGCGGCUUGGAUCGCCUUUUAUGGCGCCCGCGGGCCACUAACAAUUAGCCAGCCAGCCGGUCAGCCAACACAACAAAUGCAACCACCAUCGGCUGACUCAGCCACUUGCCUUAUAGACUGAAAUCGAAUCGAGUGGAGUCGAGUCGAAUGCCCGCUUCUAGCUGGUGAAACGACGAUCAUGAUGAUGAUGAUAAAGAUGCCGCCCCCAAUAAGUUCUCGGAUUUCAAUGGCAGAAGCAACCGAUGACCAAAAAUGGCUGGGAUUAGCGUAAGGGUAACAAAUUGAAUGAUUCAGACCAACAAAAUGAUUGAUAGAGAUUGGCUUUUAAUAAAAAUAGAGCAUAAAGUAAACAAGGAAUCGAUGACAGGCAUAAGACCCGCCUAAAUCCGAUUUCAGUUUACGGGAAUUCUCUACAUUUACGCCCUUAUUCCUCGGAAAUCCCAAGUGGUAUUCAGUUAUCAGAAUCGAAUCAAAUUCGAGGGCUGACGUUUUAGCCUAUAAAUAAAACAUGGAACAAUUCCGACUGA